AAUCAACGCUGGCGGCGUGCCUCAGACAUGCAAGUCGAACGCGAAAGUCCCCUUCGGGGGACAAGUAGAGUGGCGCACGGGUGAGUAACACGUAGGUAAUCUACCUUCGGAUGGGGAAUAACAACCGGAAACGGUUGCUAAUACCGCAUAAUGCAGCGGCACCUAAUGGUGACAGUUGUUAAAGCGGGGGAUCGAAAGACCUCGCGUCUGAAGAGGAGCCUGCGGCGGAUUAGCAGUUGGUAAGGUAAUGGCUUACCAAGGCGACGAUCCGUAGCCGGCCUGAGAGGGCGGUCGGCCACACUGACACUGACAUACGGGUCAGACUCCUACGGGAGGCAGCAGUCGGGAAUUUUGGGCAAUGGGCGAAAGCCUGACCCAGCAACGCCG
rnacentral:rRNA from 1 species